ensembl:lncRNA
CGGGGCGGCAACACAGCUGAGAAGCAGCAAAUCUCUCCGUCUCUCGCUGUUGUUUUUACUGCUUUCAGCAGAGUUGGAGUGGACCUCUUGUUGAAGAACUUCUCCAGGCACUAUGAACCAUCUGACUAAUUCUGUCAUGAAAAGGCAACUGCUGGACACCUGGGACAGGCCAUCAAUUCCAAGUUGGCGGAACUGAGGUUUCAACUGAAGAAAAAGGAGACCUGUUAGAGUUUAGAGUUGUCUAAUAGAGAGGGUGAAGGAAGAACAUCCAAACCCUGCCCCUGGUUCCUUCAAGAUUUUUUAUGGAUUUAUAUAAUGUUUUUUUUUUUUUGUAAAGUAAAGACAGUGGCAAAAUUAACAUGACACUACUUUGAUGUUUUGUUCUACAAAUUAAACCACACACACACUCCAAAAACACCAAUUUUGAUACAAUUUGCAUUUGCAAGAAAAAAAAAAAAUCAAAGCGUUGUCAUGUUAAUUUUGCCACUGCCUUUACUUUACGAAAAAACACCAUUAUAUAAAUCCAUAAAAAAUCUUGAAGAAAUCAGGGGCAGGGUUUGGAUGUUCUUCUUUCACCCUCUCUAUUAGACAACUCUAAAAUUGUUUUUUUUUCUUUAACACAGACUUUAUUUAAUUAAUAAAAAAAAAAUAAAAAUACUUCUCUUCAAGAAUUACUUUUCAGGUUUUAGCAUCAUCCUUUAGUAUUCAUAAUAGCAAUUUCAGUAAAGUUGCUGGUUUGAUUUAUGUUUUAAUUGU